UACGAAGGGGGCUAGCGUUGUUCGGAAUCACUGGGCGUAAAGGGCGCGUAGGCGGCCGAUCAAGUCGGGGGUGAAAGCCUGUGGCUCAACCACAGAAUUGCCUUCGAUACUGUUUGGCUUGAGACCGGAAGAGGUAAGUGGAACUGCGAGUGUAGAGGUGAAAUUCGUAGAUAUUCGCAAGAACACCAGUGGCGAAGGCGGCUCACUGGCCCGGUACUGACGCUGAGGUGCGAAAGCGUGGGGAGCAAACAGG
rnacentral:rRNA from 1 species